UACGGGGGGGGCAAGCGUUGUUCGGAAUUACUGGGCGUAAAGGGUUCGUAGGUGGCUUGCUAAGUCAGACGUGAAAUCCCUCAGCUUAACUGGGGAACUGCGUCUGAUACUGGCGAGCUUGAGUGCAGGAGAGGAACGCAGAAUUCCAGGUGUAGCGGUGAAAUGCGUAGAUAUGUGGAGGAACACCGAUGGCGAAGGCAGCCUUCUGGGCCAACACUGACGCUCAUGCACGAAAGCGUGGGGAGCAAACAGG
rnacentral:rRNA from 1 species